rnacentral:lncRNA from 1 species
GCACACACCAGAUUAUUCCAAGAAGACCUCGGGAGGAUCAUGGCCGGCGUGAACACCAGCGUUGUCGGCCUCAAGCCCGCCGCGGCGGUGCCGCAGUCGGCCUCGCCCGCGGCGGCAAAGCGCGUGCAGGUCGCCCCGGCCAAGGACCGGCGGUCGGCGCUUCUCGGCCUGGCGGCCGUCUUCGCCGCCACCGCCGCCUCCGCCGCCUCCGCCAGGGCAAGCGUCUUCGACGAGUACCUCGAGAAGAGCA